ACAGCUCUCUAAUGAGUGAUUGGGAGAAUGUGAUAUGUUGGAAAAUGAAGGUGAUUUUCGAAGUAAAGAAUCAAUAAAAUUCAGGAAAAGAAAACACUAAAAUUAAAAGAUACAUAUCAUAAGACAGAGAAGGAACUAAGGUCUGGAGAAAUGGAAGACAUGAUUGAAAUCUGGUGUUGAAUAUUUGCUGUGUGUCCUUGGGUGGAGGAAGGGAUGACAAAAAGAGAUGGAAUUUGGAAUUUUACAAUUAUAAAGAAAAGAAUGUUAAAACCAAAUAAUAUUUUUUUUUUUAAAAAUCACUUGGACCAAAGAUAUGAAUAAGAAAGAAAAAGAAUCAAACUUACUUUGAAUUAAGAUCAGCUUAAGGGGUAAAUGCAAAAGAAGUAACUUUGCUAUAAACAAAGCUUCAGGGGAAAAAAUCUAUUCUCUUUUGGGAUGUUCUGCUUGUAAUGAUUACUAAGUUAUUCUCUUCUUCUGGAAGUUUGUCCUGGGGUCCUCUUAACACAUAGUAUUUCUUCAGCCCAUUAGGCAUAUUAGGAAGUUUUUAUGUUCACUCAUUUCGUAAAUCUCUCCAUAAAGAAUGGCUCAAUUUUCGCAUAAUUUGCCCACCUCCGACUCCCACCCCUCACUGUUUCUUUUCUUUCUUUUCUGAACUUCUUUUGGCUUUACAAUUGCCAGCAUUACUAUCAUGAUCCUUCCUAUAGAGUGUAGAUGCAAGUUCUGUUAAUAGCCCACAUGGAGCUCCUCUCUUUGUGGCCUGGAAUAGAGUAAACAACAGAUCCAGCUGGUAAUAUUUUCUAGACCCUCAGUGUUCUAUGGAAUCUUGGAUAAGACAGUCACUAGUCAGUCAGAUGCCUUUUGUUCAAUGAGUUCUUACUGCAUAUGGCGCCAUUUCUUAUUGAUCGUGAGGUGGUUGGGUUUAGCCUGUGACUUUUAUUUGUCUCUUUCCCAGAAGUCAGUUUUAGCACUCCUGAUAUGAUUCUUACAAUAUGGUAACAUCUUUUUAUAUCAGUCCUCUAUUGCUUGUCCUUGCUUCUCUCUUCCCUAUAUGUCUUGUUGGCCAGCCAUACAUAAAUAUUAAAGGGAAAAAUGGGCAUAGACAUGAGGGAAAUGAUGUCCUUUCUUUAGAUUUGUUCAUACUCUCAUUCAAAGGAACGUUAGAGUUUUAAAAAUUAUAGAUAUAGUUCCACUUCCAUGUGUGUUUAAAUAUUCCCUAAUUGUUUGCCUCUACUUGUGUCCUAAUCAUGCAUCUUACACAUGUGUCUCGAUAUGCACAUAUGUUACAUAUCCCCUCCUCUGGUUGGUAGUUUAUCUAUUUGUGGAAAAGUAUGCCCUGAUUUUAUGUAGAAAUGUGACUUUUACUGAAUAGGAUCUUUAUGAAUGUUUUGAUGAAUUCCUCCCUAAUUACCACUAAGGAAAGAAAUGAAAAUGACCUUUUUCCCCCCUGACCCUUAAAAAUAUAUUUAAUUUCUGCUCGAGAGGGGGUCAGGACUAAGGUGGUAGUUGUCUUAAAUGAGUUUAAAUUGGAUCUGAAAAAUGUUGCCUAUUACAUGGUAUUUGACUGAUAAUUAUUUCAUUUUAAUAUUCAUUUUCCUGGAUGAAACCUUUUUCAGAGUAUGAAAGACUUGCUUUCCCUGUUCAAUUGAAUUUUGCCUUUGUUGAACUCAAUUAUGAUUUUAUCUAACUCACCCCUCUGCUGGCUCAUUUGGUAGAAUUCUCAGAACCCUGUGCUUACUUUUAGCACGACUACACAUUCUGAAUUCCCAGAACACAUUUGUUCUUUCAAUUUGGACCAAUACUUCUGAGUUUUAGUUUGCCAAGUUAUGCCCCAGUCUAAAUCUCAUAUUCUUCUGGCAGUGGGUUGGGGCUUGCAUAGCUAUUGUUCUAUCUGUUAAGUUUAUUUUGAGAAGCUCAGUUGUAAACGGAAAUUCAGGGGAAUGAGUCAUCAGUGACUACUGAGAAAGGGGGUGAAGCCAUGAUUAUUCAAGAAGCUUUCAUUUGUCAAUGGAAAACUUAAUAGGAAGUCAAACAUGACUUCCACAAGCUUUUUAACAUGAACAAGUUAAUCUCUAUAUAACUGUUGCAGAUAAUAGAGAUAGGGAGGGUAGUAGAAGGAGUAG